ACCAAUUGUUGGAUCUAGAUCUAGAUUUAGUCUCUAGCCAAGUUUACAUUAAGUAAUGUCCACUUUAAAGAAGAAAAAAAGAUUUAUUAAAGGUCUAUUAAUCGUUAAAUAAUAGACAAAUGUGAUCCCUUGUUUCAGUAAUCAUGCCGAGACUUUCAGUUGCUGGAGAUCCUUUAAUGACAUUUGGACGAGAGAGCGAUACCGAAAGAGUAGCCAGAGAUGAUCCAUUUUUGAGGUUUAAGAGAGACCAUCAACCCUCUUGGACACCUAAUGGUGUAAAUCCGUGGGGGUAAAGCCUCCACGAGAGAGUAAAACUACGUUUGAAAGACUGUACCCUGUGUACUGAAGUAGAACUGCUCACUCAACAAUGAAGGCUGUUCUUAUAACCUUCGUGACUUUACUGUGUAUCUCUACAAUUAUGCUUCCAAACGUAAUUAUGCCGAGACUUUCAGUUGCUGGAGGCCCCUUUAUGAAAUUUAAAAACAACAGAUCUCCAAAUAAAAAAGCCAGGUAUUGUCCCAGAUGUGAAUGUAGACGGCCUAUUCGCCAAAGAAUAUAAAAUCACAUUUCAAAGGUUAAGGCGAGACCCGGUAUGUGUACACUUUUAGAGUUUCUCAUGGACUAACAUCUACAACCUUUUGAAAAAAAACAACAACAGAAAAGCGGAAACCAAAUUUUGAAUAUACUUUUUAGAUUUUACAAUUAGACAUCCCUAACUUUCAAUUGAACAAAUGUUUUAAAGUAUAGUCAAAUAAAAGUACAUCAGUAGCA